rnacentral:misc_RNA from 1 species
CUUCACUUUGGCAUCAUCAUCCUGUCACAAAAAAAAAUGAGAACGUGGUUAUGUAAAUCGCAACGCCAAUUGUUGAACAUCAUGAAAUUGGCCCCUACAGUUUUCACGAUGCUAAGCUUUGAAACUCAUAUUAAGCAUCAAAACAAAGAGGGCGGAACUACAGUUAAACAAUUCCAAGUCUGUGAAGCCUAAUUCACUUCACAUUUUACAGAUGAAGUCCUCUUCUGUAUUUGAGAAACUGUGCACUCCAUCCUUACUGUCUAAAUUGGCAGUACUAUGUCAUGUGCAGCAUGACACCUAUAACUUUUGUUAUAUUUCUUAUAAGCACCAUGUCUGGAAGACUAAUUACUUCAUCUAUCAGAGGUUUACGAUCUGGUUGCCUACCUGCCGAAAGGCACAAAGGACCUACAACUACACAGCUUGCAUCUCGCCGGUGCAAUCUAUUACUUCAACCUUAAAAAAAAGCAUGCCUAGAUUUUACAUACAUGUAGAUGUAGUCAUAUUUAUACAUAUACAUAAUGAAAAACAGACCUCAAGGGACAAACUACACAUUGUACCUUAUUCUGUUGCUUCAGAUUUC